GUCGAAGGGCUUCUCUACAUGGCCCCACAGUGCUGCACUACCACUCCCCUGUGUGGAUGCUGCUGAUGCAAACUGGAGAGUAUUGCAUUAACAAAGUGCUCUUUCAAAUGCAGGUGAUAUUUUGGAAAAUAUUCCACAGCGUGCCGCUCACUACCACAAGAUGUCUGACUGAAACAUCAUGGGAAAUUCUGCAAUAACUAGCAAACAAUCCCCUGCUUGGAGCAAUUCUGAGCUACUGGAGCUGAUCAGUGUUUGGGGAAAGGAGGCUGUGAAGGGACCUGGAUGCUCCACGAUCACUUCCCCCUUCCUACAAGACCUAUUGUCAAAAUGGAGAGAGCUGCACUGUGGGAUAGCUGCUCUCAGCUGCGAUGGAAGUGUUGCAAAUGUGAACAUGAUCUGACACUUGUGGAAGACUGGAUUUCUAUUGUUCCUAGCCAGGAGUCUAACAAAGACAGCAGAAGUUCAUGCUUUCACAUGUUUGCAAAUCAGUAUUAAAAACCUCUUUAUAUAGUUCUUUUGUAUAUUCAACCUUUUACUGGCUCCUAUUUGAGUUCCAGGAUUGUCCCCCCAUUUUUCACUGUCAUACUAUUGACUUUUGUAUUGUGCACUGAGGCAUUGUAGUUACUUGUUGCAACUUCUCUAUUUCCACAGUUUUGUCAACAAAAGUCAGGUUUCAUCAACAAAAGAGUGUAUGUGUACACAGGGUCCUUCAUACCAGGAGGGGAUUCAUGGCCCUGCACACUUUGCAUCAUCACAACCCCCAUAGUGAACUUCUCAAUUCCAAACUGAUUGGCAGUUGACUGUGAUAGCAGUCUGGAGUUGCCAGAUUCCACACAGCUAUCGCCACAUGCUUUUCCACCAUUAGGGCAGCUCUCUUUUUAGUGUCCUUGCACCACAGGGUGGGGGGCAUGCUCCACACAGAGUUCAAAGAAGGUGACUUUGUGCAUACAAAAGUUCUGCAGCCACUGCUUGUCAUCCCAUGCCGGCAUCACAAGCCGACCCCACUCAAUGCUUUUUCCCAAGCCCAGUAGCAACCAUAUGCAGCUGCUCCAUGAAUGCCAACAUCAAUCUUGAAUGUUUCUUUCCACGGUACACAGCAAGGCACGCACUAUGGUUUCCUGUUCAGAUUUGCAGCUCAUUAAAUACUGCAGCAUCAGAUGCAUUAUGUUCAUACCACUUAUCACAAGACUGGAGAGCCUUGAAGGAUCCAUGCUUUCAGGGAGAGAUGAUGGGGGCAAAGUUUACAGGGGCAGUUGAAAUAUCAGGCGAAACACAGUUGGAAGCCUUUAGAAUUAUGUGACAGGUGAAAACUGCAUCAUACAGCAGUAAUUCUGCCCCCAUGAUGCACUGCAAUCCAUUCUUAUAACUCCUAGCAGGAGAAGGUGGCAAUUUGCACAGUGGGAUAGCUACCCACAGCAUACUACUCUUCGUUGGUGCUAGAGCACCAACUGUGGACGUGCUCCGCCAGCAGAAGGAGAGUUGUGUGAAAAUGUACAAGCUAUGUAUUACAGCAGUUUAUGAUCAUCAACAUAACUUAAAAUCGACUUAACUCUGUAGUGCAGACAUGACCGAUGUACAAUAAAACAAGAUUCUGUAGACCAUAGUGUAUGGAUAUAAAAUGAAAAGCCAUAUUUAUAUGCUUGAAAUUACUAGUUAAGUCAGAUAAGAGUUAAAUAGGGAUAGUGUAAAGAAAAGCAUUAAACUCUGAUCAAUGUUAUCAUCACCACCUUAAAAGCAGUAAAAAACUCUAACAUGACAUAUCUUGUUUACUUCUUGCUUUUAAAGUCAUGGUGGACAGCAAAACUGGACUAGUCAAUUUCACAUCUUCGUUAUCAAUUAUUUAGACUCAAAGAGGAAAAGUUAAAGGUUGGAUAAGAUACGAAAUAGAAGGUGCAGACUGGUAAAUCAAGGAUGUGUGCUCUCCACAAUUUUUUUCCUUUGUAGUCUAAAUAUUUAGAAAGAAUAAUCUUGUUUUAUUUAUUUAACCAUCUUCACUGUUCCCCUUCAUUGAGUCCAUCUGGCUUGUCAGAGUACAGACCACAGACAGGUUUCAGAGCAGUACCCGGGUUAGUCUGUAUCAGCAA